ensembl:lncRNA
CAAUUCCCUAAAUUUCAUAGAAUCAUAGAAUUGCUAAGGUUGGAAAAGGCCCACAGGAUCAUCCAGUCCAACCAUUCGGCCAUCACCAAUGGUUCUCGCUAAACCAUGUCCCUCAACACAACAUCCAAAUGUUCUUUGAACACCUCCAGGCUCGGUGACUCCACCACCUCUCUGGGCAGCCCAUUCCAGUGCCUGACCACCCUUUCAGAGAAGUAGUAUUUCCUAACAUCCAGCCUGAACCUUCCCUAGCACAGCUUGAAGCCAUUCCCUCUAGUCCUAUCACUAGUUGCACGAGAGAGGAGGGUGACCCCCAGCUCACUACAGUCUCCCUUCAGGUAGUUAUAGAGAGCAAUAAGGUCUCCCCUGAGCCUCCCCUUUCUAGACUGAACAAUCCGAGCUCCUUCAGCCGCUCCUCAUAAGGCCUGUGCUCCAGAACCCUCGCCAGCUUUGUUGCCCUUCUCUGGACACGCUCCAGGGCCUCGAUGUCUUUCUUACAGUGAGGGGCCCAAAACUGGACACAGAACUCGAGGUGUGGCCUCACCAGUGCUGAGUACAGGGGGACAAUUACUUCCCUGUUCCUGCUGGCCACACUAUUUCUGAUACAAGCCAGUGUGCCAUUGGCCUUCUUGGCCAACAGGGCACACUGCUGGCUCAUAUUCAGUCUAGCAUCAAUCAAUACCCCCAGGUCCAUUUCCUCUACGCAGUCUUCCAGCCACUCUGCCCCAAGCCUGUAGCAUUGCCUGGGGUUAUUGUGGCCAAAGUGCAGGACCCAGCACUUGGUCUUCUUGAAUCUCAUCUCGUUGGCUUCAGCCCAGCUAUCCAGUCUGUCCAGAUCCCUCUGUAGGAUCUCGCUACCCUCAGGCAGAUCAACACUUCCAGCCAGCUUGGUGUCAUCUGCAAACUUAGCGAGGGUGCACUCAAUGCCCUCAUCCAGGUCAUCAAUAAAGAUAUUAAACAGGACAGGCCCCAGCACCGACCCCUGGGGAACACCACUCAUGACCGGUUGCCAGCUGGAUUUAACUCCAUUCACUACCACUCUUUGGGCCUGACCCUCCAGCCAGUUCCUUACCCAGCCAAGAGUGUAUCUUUCCAAGCCACGGGCUGCCAGCUUCUGCAGGAGAAUACUGUGGGAGACAGUGUCAAAGGCUUUGCUGAAGUCUAGGUAGACUACAUCAACAGCCUUUCCUUAAUCCACAGGCAGAUCAUCAGAUCAUAGAAGGAGAUCAGGUUGGUCAAGCAGGACCUGCCCUUCGUGAACCCAUGCUGGCUAGACCUGAUCCCCCAGUGUUCCUGCAUAUGCAGCGUGAUCUCCCUCAAGACAAUCUGCUCCAUAAUCUUCCCCGGCACUGAGUGCUUCAAGCAGCAAGUUUGAGUUUGAGAUCGGAUUGAAACGCAAUCCACAGUCGGGGGGUGAACAGACAGACACUCCCGAAAGGAGAGGAGAAAGGUUGGAGGAGACGAUUAGAGAUCCAGGCACGCGCACAGUAACACCCUCCUUGCACCAGCCGAGCCGCCAGUCCCCUCUCUGCGGGAGCUGCUCGGAUCCACCGCGCCGAACGGGG